rnacentral:lncRNA from 1 species
ACUGAAAUUACGCGGCCCGUGGCUCAGAUUAGGCCGGCCCAGCCCGACCCGCGGGCUUUUUCAUUUUUUUUAAAAUCCGUAAAUACUGUAAAGCACAGGAAGGAAAUGACUAAAUGAGUAAACAUAUUACUAAUACAUACAAUGAUACAAAUGAGAAAAACUAAUAAAUAUUAAAUGAACCAAGAGCAAAUAGAAUAGAAUCCCAGCAAGAGUUAUUGUAAAUCCAUUCAUCCCAAGCCACUCCCAUCACUGCAAUAGCAAUAAUAAAAUUUACCCAGCAACAGUAAUAUUUUACUUCAAUCAACUUCUAGAUUUGAGUCAUCGUUAAAUACCCAAUGAGAAAACUGAAACUGAAAGGGGAAAAACAAAGAAAAAGAAAAGAGAAUGAAACAAAUCUACUAAUAAAACAUAAAUGUAUUACAUAAAUGAUUGUAUAUAAGGAUAUGGCUUCAAUUCAAUGACUGGAAUUUUUCUUACACGAGCUAAAGAAUUAAAUAUACAGAACCCACAUUAUAUGUUCUUGUUUAAUAUUCCAUUUGCACAUUAUCUGAACUCUUCUAAUGGACUUUAGAAUGAGAAGAAAAUCAUGCAGGAGCAGGACAUCAAUUUUCAAGAAACUGCACUACCAUAUGAGAGAAAAAUCCUGUAAAUCAUCUUCCAAAUUAAAAGGGUAACCAAAUUUAUGUAAAGGAAAAAUAAAAGGACGAACAAGAAAAAUGAUAAAUAUCCAGAUCGAAUAAUUGCAGGACAUAUUAAAAAUUAAAACACACUAACUUUUUUACCUAAAAACAAGGAAUUCAAUAUUUUGGGCAAAAAAGUGAAAGAAAAUUACAUACCUUGAACCAAAAAAGUAGAUCUGAUCCUUCAACCAAAAAUGAAAAAGCUAAGCAACAAAGUCGGGACGAAGAGGAUAAAACACUGAGAUAUAUUAUAUAUAGAGAUAAAAUUACUCAGAUUCGGGACGAAGAGGAAGAACUAAGAAGCUACAUAGUCGGCGACUCGGCGUGGUCGAUCGAAGCGUGGAUUUCUCGGUCGUGACUCGUCGUUGGCUCUUUGAGGACUCUCAGUUUUAGAUCUGAAUCAUCUGAUAUCAAAAAAGACUAGCUAAGCCGGUUAGAGUAUAGUGUACUCGAACAUAA